AAGCUCGUAGUUGAAUUUCGGGGUUCUACCGUUGGUCGGGCUAACCAGUCUGUACUAGCGUGUAGAAUUCUUACCUUCUGGGGAACCAUCAUGUUAUUAAUUUAGCGUGGUAGGAAACCAGGACCUUUACCUUGAAAAAAUUAGAGUGUUCAAAGCAGGCUUACGUCUGAAUACAUUAGCAUGGAGUAAUAAAAUAGGACGGUGGUCCUGUUUUGUUGGUUUCUGAAUCACCGUAAUGAUUAUAGGGAUAGUUGGG
rnacentral:rRNA from 1 species